UUAAAAUUCCAAAAGGAAUAGAGACUGUAACUGGACAACAGUGGUCACAUUUGUAAAGGUCAUUCACAGAGCUCUGCCCAGACACAGCAGGCACCCUAGAAGGACGCGAGAGAAUGCCAUAGCCGACUUCCCACUUGAUUCUCAAAUCAGAAACCACCACACUGAAAAGUCAGAGAGCACCUGCCUCCUGGUUUUCUUCCCCUUGAAGUGAUCUCCUUUUCCAACUGCAGCAGAGAGAUCUCAAAUUGCCAGCUACUUGCAUGUCCUCAGUCUCCUUCCUAAGGAUCUACGAGGUAACGCUCACACAAUAUCCUCACAUCAGAUCUGAGGGCAACAUGCACUUGCACCAGACGUCUCAAUGGGGUGCAGCAGUGAGAUGGGAAUGUGCUUCCUUUGAUGGGCAGGGCCAUCUGAACAAUCUCUUCCAAAGUAAAGGCAACAGCACUUGCCCUGUGAAAUUUGUUCUGCAUGUUCACCCUGAAAAUGUGGGCAGUCUUGAAUCUCAUUUGCUAUUCCCUGCUGGUUUCAAAUUCUCAGAAAAGCUCAAGAAAUGCUGCAUCUGGACAUAGCAAUACCUCUAACACUUAUAUUUUUAUGAAUGAAAUACAGAAUCAAAGGUUACCUGAAUCCAGAUCUUAAACUUCAUCCCCCCAAAUUCAAGCAAUCAAAAUAACAAGGUGAAGCACAACAAAACAGUGGUUUAAGAGACCCUAGUAAAAGGGUCUGAUCAAACAGAAUCCUCAACUGAGAAUCAAGGUGUGUGACAAAGGACACUUUACUCUUUAAAAUUAUGAAACAUUCCAAGUUGAAAUGGACUCUUAUGUACAUUAAUCUUUUAGGGAACUCAGUCCAGCCACCUGUUCAUGUCCAUCAUCUAAAACCCUGGCUCAAAACUUUGAAGACAUUUUCUCU